GGGGAUGUAGUUAAUAAUAACAUUUAAUUUGCAUUUAAAAAGAACUAAAAUUUAGUCUUCCUCA
rnacentral:tRNA from 1 species